CACGGGGGGAGCAAGCGUUGUUCGGAAUCACUGGGCGUAAAGCGCGUGUAGGCGGUUAGGUAAGUGGGAUGUGAAAUACUCCGGCUCACCCGGAGAACUGCAUCCCAAACUGCCUAGCUUGAGUAUGGGAGAGGAUGAGGGAAUUUCUGGUGUAGCGGUGAAAUGCGUAGAUAUCAGAAGGAACAUCAGUGGCGAAAGCGGCUUCCUGGUCCAGUACCGACGUUCAGGCACGAAAGCGUGGGGAGCAAACAGG
rnacentral:rRNA from 1 species